rnacentral:rRNA from 1 species
GUGCAGCAGUCGCGAAACCUUCGCAAUGCGGGAAACCGCGACGAGGGGACUCCCAGUGCCUACGCUCAGCGUAGGCUGUUCCCGAGCCUAGAAAGCUCGGGGAGUAAGGGCUGGGUAAGACGGGUGCCAGCCGCCGCGGUAAUACCCGCAGCCCGAGUGGUGGCCACUAUUAUUGGGCCUAAAGCGUCCGUAGCCGGCCCGGUAAAUGCCUGGGUAAAUCGUGAGGCCUAACCUCACGAAUUCCGGGUAGACUGCCGGGCUAGGGGACCGGAGGAGGGAGAGGGUACUCCAGGGGUAGGGGUGAAAUCCUGUAAUCCCUGGAGGACCACCGGUGGCGAAGGCGCUCUCCUAGGACGGGUCCGACGGUGAGGGACGAAAGCCAGGGGAGCGAACCGGAUUAGAUACCCGGGUAGU